AAUACAAAUUACCUGAAGAGCAAUGGAAUAUCAUUUCACCUAAAGUUAUGGGUUUUGCUAGAACUUUCAGUUGUGCAAAUCAUAAGGCUACAAUAGCCCAUGGCACUUCAAAUAUUGGGACAGUUUCUUCUCAAUCAGUAGUUGAAAAGUAUAGAAGAAAGAGGGUGAAACCCCAAAGAUUUUAUUCAUCAACAGAUGAUGAACUUGAAAUGCCAAAGGGUGGGAGCAAAAAGAAAAUGUUCCAUGUCCCAAUUUCUUCUUUUUUAAAAG